rnacentral:rRNA from 2 species
GGGUUGUGAGGUUAAGCGACUAAGCGUACACGGUGGAUGCCCUGGCAGUCAGAGGCGAUGAAGGACGUGCUAAUCUGCGAAAAGCGUCGGUAAGGUGAUAUGAACCGUUAUAACCGGCGAUGUCCGAAUGGGGAAACCCAGUGCAAUUCGUUGCACUAUCGUUAACUGAAUACAUAGGUUAACGAGGCGAACCGGGGGAACUGAAACAUCUAAGUACCCCGAGGAAAAGAAAUCAACCGAGAUUCCCCCAGUAGCGGCGAGCGAACGGGGAGCAGCCCAGAGUCUGAAUCAGCUUGUGUGUUAGUGGAACGGUCUGGAAAGUCCGACGGUACAGGGUGAUAGUCCCGUACACCAAAAUGCACAGGUUGUGAACUCGAAGAGUAGGGCGGGACACGUGGUAUCCUGUCUGAAUAUGGGGGGACCAUCCUCCAAGGCUAAAUACUCCUGACUGACCGAUAGUGAACCAGUACCGUGAGGGAAAGGCGAAAAGAACCCCGGCGAGGGGAGUGAAAAAGAACCUGAAACCGUGUACGUACAAGCAGUGGGAGCACCUUCGGGUGUGACUGCGUACCUUUUGUAUAAUGGGUCAGCGACUUAUAUUCUGUAGCAAGGUUAACCGUAUAGGGGAGCCGCAGGGAAACCGAGUCUUAACUGGGCGUUAAGUUGCAGGGUAUAGACCCGAAACCCGGUGAUCUAGCCAUGGGCAGGUUGAAGGUUGGGUAACACUAACUGGAGGACCGAACCGACUAAUGUUGAAAAAUUAGCGGAUGACUUGUGGCUGGGGGUGAAAGGCCAAUCAAACCGGGAGAUAGCUGGUUCUCCCCGAAAGCUAUUUAGGUAGCGCCUCGUGAACUCAUCUUCGGGGGUAGAGCACUGUUUCGGCUAGGGGGUCAUCCCGACUUACCAACCCGAUGCAAACUACGAAUACCGAAGAAUGUUAUCACGGGAGACACACGGCGGGUGCUAACGUCCGUCGUGAAGAGGGAAACAACCCAGACCGCCAGCUAAGGUCCCAAAGUCAUGGUUAAGUGGGAAACGAUGUGGGAAGGCACAGACAGCCAGGAUGUUGGCUUAGAAGCAGCCAUCAUUUAAAGAAAGCGUAAUAGCUCACUGGUCGAGUCGGCCUGCGCGGAAGAUGUAACGGGGCUAAACCAUGCACCGAAGCUGCGGCAGCGACACUAUGUGUUGUUGGGUAGGGGAGCGUUCUGUAAGCCUGCGAAGGUGUGCUGUGAGGCAUGCUGGAGGUAUCAGAAGUGCGAAUGCUGACAUAAGUAACGAUAAAGCGGGUGAAAAGCCCGCUCGCCGGAAGACCAAGGGUUCCUGUCCAACGUUAAUCGGGGCAGGGUGAGUCGACCCCUAAGGCGAGGCCGAAAGGCGUAGUCGAUGGGAAACAGGUUAAUAUUCCUGUACUUGGUGUUACUGCGAAGGGGGGACGGAGAAGGCUAUGUUAGCCGGGCGACGGUUGUCCCGGUUUAAGCAUGUAGGCUGAUUGUCCAGGCAAAUCCGGAUAAUCAAGGCUGAGGUGUGAUGACGAGGCACUACGGUGCUGAAGUAACAAAUGCCCUGCUUCCAGGAAAAGCCUCUAAGCAUCAGGUAACAUCAAAUCGUACCCCAAACCGACACAGGUGGUCAGGUAGAGAAUACCAAGGCGCUUGAGAGAACUCGGGUGAAGGAACUAGGCAAAAUGGUGCCGUAACUUCGGGAGAAGGCACGCUGGUGUGUAGGUGAAGUCCCUGCGGAUGGAGCUGAGACCAGUCGAAGAUACCAGCUGGCUGCAACUGUUUAUUAAAAACACAGCACUGUGCAAACACGAAAGUGGACGUAUACGGUGUGACGCCUGCCCGGUGCCGGAAGGUUAAUUGAUGGGGUUAUCCGUAAGGAGAAGCUCUUGAUCGAAGCCCCGGUAAACGGCGGCCGUAACUAUAACGGUCCUAAGGUAGCGAAAUUCCUUGUCGGGUAAGUUCCGACCUGCACGAAUGGCGUAAUGAUGGCCAGGCUGUCUCCACCCGAGACUCAGUGAAAUUGAACUCGCUGUGAAGAUGCAGUGUACCCGCGGCAAGACGGAAAGACCCCGUGAACCUUUACUAUAGCUUGACACUGAACAUUGAGCCUUGAUGUGUAGGAUAGGUGGGAGGCUUUGAAGCGUGGACGCCAGUCUGCGUGGAGCCAACCUUGAAAUACCACCCUUUAAUGUUUGAUGUUCUAACGUUGGCCCCUGACCGGGGUUGCGGACAGUGUCUGGUGGGUAGUUUGACUGGGGCGGUCUCCUCCCAAAGCGUAACGGAGGAGCACGAAGGUUAGCUAAUCCUGGUCGGACAUCAGGAGGUUAGUGCAAUGGCAUAAGCUAGCUUGACUGCGAGCGUGACGGCGCGAGCAGGUGCGAAAGCAGGUCAUAGUGAUCCGGUGGUUCUGAAUGGAAGGGCCAUCGCUCAACGGAUAAAAGGUACUCCGGGGAUAACAGGCUGAUACCGCCCAAGAGUUCAUAUCGACGGCGGUGUUUGGCACCUCGAUGUCGGCUCAUCACAUCCUGGGGCUGAAGUAGGUCCCAAGGGUAUGGCUGUUCGCCAUUUAAAGUGGUACGCGAGCUGGGUUUAGAACGUCGUGAGACAGUUCGGUCCCUAUCUGCCGUGGGCGCUGGAGAAUUGAGGGGGGCUGCUCCUAGUACGAGAGGACCGGAGUGGACGCAUCACUGGUGUUCGGGUUGUCAUGCCAAUGGCACUGCCCGGUAGCUAAAUGCGGAAGAGAUAAGUGCUGAAAGCAUCUAAGCACGAAACUUGCCCCGAGAUGAGUUCUCCCUGAGACUAUAAGUCUCCUGAAGGAACGUUGAAGACGACGACGUUGAUAGGCCGGGUGUGUAAGCGCAGCGAUGCGUUGAGCUAACCGGUACUAAUGAACCGUGAGGCUUAACCUUACAACGCCGAAG